AUUGAACGCUGGCGGCAGGCCUAACACAUGCAAGUCGAACGGGUGGCGGACGGGUGAGUAAUGUCUGGGAAACUGCCCGAUGGAGGGGGAUAACUACUGGAAACGGUAGCUAAUACCGCGUACCAUAGGAUGUGCCCAGAUGGGAUUAGCUUGUAUGUGAGGUAACGGCUCACCUAGGCGACGAUCCCUAGCGGGUCUGAGAGGAUGACCAGCCACACGGGAACGGCGACACGGUCCAGACGCCUACGGGAGGCAGCAGUGGGGAAUAGUGCACAAUGGGCGCAAGCCUGAUUCAGCCAUGCCGCGUGUAUGAAGAAGGCCUUCGUGUUGUAAAGUACUUUCAGCGGGGAGGCGGUACCCGCAGAAGAAGCACCGGCUAACUCCGUGCCAGCCGCCGCGGUAAUAC
rnacentral:rRNA from 1 species